rnacentral:lncRNA from 1 species
GCUUACAAUCAACACACCUGUCUAGUCAACUCACUCCUGCCUUAUAUGUAUGCACAAGAAUAAAAGGAGGGGAGCUUCAACACCACUCCCCUUGUGCACAGAGCCUGUGAUGGGUCAUGCCUGGGCUGGCAGGCACGUGAUUCAUGGUUCUAACUCCAUGUAGCAGGUGGUCCACCUGGAAGCUGUCGAUGGGAGUCCUCCCCAUGUGGACGGACUCUACAGACUGUGCGUGCCUAGUCUCUCCGCAGGAGACGCACAGCACGCCGGGCACGCCCCGUCCGUCCAGACCUGAGGCACAGCACACCGGGCACGCCCCGACCAUCCGGAGGAGACGCACAGCACGCCGGGCACACACCGUCCAGAGGAGACGCACAGCACGCCGGGCACACCCCGUCCCUCCAGAGGAGACGCACAGCACGCCGGGCACGCCCCGUCCCUCCAGAGGAGACGCACAGCACGCCGGGCACGCCCCGUCCCUCCAGAGGAGACGCACAGCACGCCGGGCACGCCCCGUCCCUCCGAGGAGGCGCACAGCACGCCGGGCACGCCCCGUCCAGAGGAGACGCACAGCACGCCGGGCACGCCCCGUCCCUCCAGAGGAGACGCACAGCACGCCGGGCACGCCCCGUCCCUCCAGAGGAGACGCACAGCACGCCGGGCACCCCCGUCCCUCCAGAGGAGACGCACAGCACCCCCCGCCACCCCCCCCCCCCCCCCCCCCCCCCCCCCCCCCCCCCCCCCCCCCCCCCCCCCCCCCCCCCCCCCCCCCCCCCCCCCCCCCCCCCCGCCCCCGUCCCUCCGAGGAGACGCACAGCACGCCGGGCACGCCCCGUCCAGAGGAGACGCACAGCACGCCGGGCACGCCCCGUCCAGAGGAGACGCACAGCACGCCGGGCACGCCCCGUCCCUCCGAAGGAGACGCACAGCACGCCGGGCACGCCCCGUCCCUCCGAGGAGGCGCACAGCACGCCGGGCACGCCCCGUCCAGAGGAGACGCAUAG